rnacentral:lncRNA from 1 species
UUGGCCUUUCAAGGUAUUUGCAGAAGACAGAUGGAAGUAGGGGGGUAGCAGGAAUGUGGUUACGGCGAUGUUCCACACCCAGAGACUCACAUGACAGCAGAUGUGCAUUUUCGCCAACCAUGAUAUUCCACCCAUCACCAUCAAACUCCUCCUCUGUUAACAGGCAGCAAAGAACAUUCGGGUCAUCCAAGCUGAUGGUUGGGAACUCAGGAAGACGCUGAUCUAUGUGCAGAUCUAGGUAGCCAGGUUGUGCCCAGAGAGAAUACAGGUUGAUCACAUGAUGUAGCUUCCACUCGAACUUGUUGGAGUCCAACGUCCAAACGGUGAUAUCCUGGGUAGGCCGCUUCUGCUGGCCUCGGCUUUUUCUCGCAGGAGGCGGCCCAUGGAAGUCAUUGUCAAUGUGCACAAAGCACAGCAUGCCUUGGCUGAUGGACACACUUCGGAAUCUGUCAGGGCGGCGCCUUUCAACCCGUUCCUCAUCAGAGAAAUCAUUUUUCCCAGGGAAAGGCACAAAGCGGAGCACUGGGGACAAGUCUUGUAUCGCGAAGUCACAUAGCAGAACACCACUCAUGUAGUCAAUACAGCACAGGAAACGGCCGGCAAAAGCAAGCAGAUUGUCGGUUGACCAGAGGUUGGGGAACUGACCGCCAUUGCUCUGGUCCUGCGGCUGAGGGGCAGGCAUCUCGGGGCUGAGUUCCCACUGUUUAGCCCCAGAGCGGAAGACGCAGAGUUGGGCACAGAUACCAUUUUUUCCGCGGCAGACAUCGAUAUCGGCAACGAUGUAGCGAUCCUCAUCUUUGAGCCGCAGGAUGCCUGUGGUGACGAAACCCAUCAGGAACGGCCUAUUGCUCUCGAUUGUGUACGGUGGGAGCCGCUGCACCGAGGGGCGAGGACCGCCGGCCUUGUAGACGAACAGAUCUGCCGGGGGAUCCCAGUAGCUCGGGUUGUUGACGUCGAAGAGGACGAUUUCCUUGACUUUUUUCUGCGGGUAGGACAUUUGAAAGAGGACGAGGUUGUUGUCGGUUGCCCGGAGGAAGGCAUAGGCGGGCGGGGUGUGUAAGGCAAUUGGAGGUCCCUCCGGCAAGUGGAGGUUGAGGCAGGAGAUCCCUUUUUGAGGAGCCGCGAGGGUGAAGGUCACGUAGCAGGAGGGGCCGCCGUCCAUGUCGACCGGAGCGGCGGUCUUGUCCUUGUCGACAGCCACACGAGCAGCUUCUAGGCUGUUGUGGCGGUGGGUCUUGCCCUUGCGGUGCAGCACCACCCAAUGAGGGAGGACGACGGUCUCCUCCUCCGGCUCCGGCUCCGGCGCGCCUCCAGUGUCCAUGGCGAUCGGCAUCGGGAAUAAAGCAGCCGCCGCCUCCCUAACCCUAACCCUAGUUUCUGGUGGGGGGACUGAUGGACGGGAAGGAAGGAAGGGAGACAGUGAGGCUCUUAUUGGGCGGCUUAAGCGCCAGCGAGCGGAACCGGCGCUCACGCGCACACCUUCGUGAGCUGGCCCAGCCAGCGAACGGACGGUCGCGGUGGAAUUCCCCUGGUCGCGGUUGACCGAUCUGACUAUUUCACCAUUGACUAUUCAAAAAAGUGUUUUUAAUCAGGAAUUAAAAAAAUUCGUUCACAGAAAAAAGAUCACAGGUUAAACAAAGUUGACGAAUUUAGAAGAAAAAAUUCAUAAAAAUGGAAAAGGUUCAUCGAUCUUUAAAAAAAAUCACUCAAUUUAAAAAAAGUUCAUCGAUUUUACAAAAGAAUUUGAUCAAUUUUGAAAAAAAAAGUCACUGAUCUUGAAAAAAAGUUCAUCAAUUUUGGAAAAAAGUUCAUAGAUUUUGAAAACAAAUCACUGAUUUUGAAAAAAAGUUCAUAAGUUUUGAAAAAAUUCCAUUCAAUGUUGAAAAAAAGUUCAUCAGAUAAGAAGAAAGAAAUGUGUUCCAAAGAAAAAAGAAAUAGAAAAGAGAAAAAGAUGUAAGAAGAAAAGAAGGAAGAAAAUGUGAACGAGCACAUCAUGUAAAGGGAGGUGGAUGCGGUGGUUAGUGCAGCUCCUUGGGGUGCCGCUGUCCACAUGCCCUCGAGGCAAUCACCAAAUUCCUCAUGCUUUUCCCAGUACAACUCGUACUUAAAUAGCUUCCUUUGGAUAGACGCCGGCUCACUGGGCUCGAGAGCUAGUCUGAUCGGGCAAUGAUCUGAAGCUGCGCCCGUCUCGUGGACAGACUUGCCUGGGGAUACAAAGCUGUCCACUCCGAGCUUGCCAUAGCACGGUCAAGCCGGACAUGGCAGUAACCCCCACCUGACGUCUUCUUCUCAAAAGUCCAUGCUUUCCCAUGAUAGCCUAGAUCUUGAAGGCCACACACAUCCAUGGCUUCCCGAAAUCCUUCAAUCUGAGAAGACCUGCAUUGACCAGCCCCGGAGUGUUCAUGUUGGUGUAGAACUUCAUUGAAGUCCCCAAUACACAGCCACGGCAAGUUGCUUUCAGCCGUCAAGGACUUUAGCAAAUCCCAGGUUUUGUAUCUUUCCCCCGCUUGCGCCUCGCCAUACACACAAGUAAGCCUCCACUCUGAAAAAUUUGGGAUAGAAACAGUAGCAUCUACGUGAUACUCCGAGUAACCAAAAACAUCUAGCUUUAUUCCAUCAUUCCAAAAAACACCAAUGCUGCCACUACGGCCCGAACUACCAACAGCAUAAGAGUGAUUAAAACCUAAAGUACCAGCAAGAUUUUCGACACGUGCUUUAGAUAUCUGAGUUUCUACUAUGCAUAACACUGUCGGGGCCAAUUGCUUCGCUAGGUCGCGAAGCUCACGAAUUGUCGCAGCUUUGCCCACACCACGACAAUUCCAACACAGAAGAUUCAUUGUGCUCGGCGAUCCUCCCCUCGGGAGGUCGCCGAUUUUGCAUCAUUUUGUUUUUCACUUGUUGGUACUUUAUUCCCAUUAUUCUUCUCAGCACUUGUCCUAAUUCUCUUCGGAUCCUGCUUUGACGAUGGGCUGGCAGGGAUCGCUGGAGGAGGCAGGGCUAGUGUGGUCUCUUUUGCCGACGCUACCGUCCCGGCACCGUCCAUUGGUUCAGACAGUUCAGAGGCGCGCUUCCUGUUCGCUUCUUCAGCAUGCUGCAUCUCUAGGUCCAUAUCCUGCUCCAGGUCCUCUUUGUCAUCUGUUCCAGGUUGGUUGCUUGCUCGGCCUCCCGAGCGUCCACCCCGGCGACCACCGUGCCUUCCACGGCCACGGCCGCCACCCGGUCCUUGACCCACGCGCAUGUUCCAGGUUGCCCUUAGAUCCUUGAAAAACAGAGCUGAUGGGGCAUGUAUUCCAUUCCCAUGUCCCUUGAAGACGUGGCCCAAAUGUCCACACACCGCACACCAAUCCGGGAGCCUUUCAUACUUCACCAAAUAAAUCUGCCUUUCUCCUCCCUGGAUCAUUGAGACUGUGUUCUUCAGGGGCUUAUAAACAUUGAUCUUCACCCAGACCCGGAAUAAGUUCCCGGCAAAAUCUUGAGUGAUUGGUUCCGCAAACAAGACUUCUCCCACCUUUGCUGCUAGCGCACCAACCAGGUGUGCAUACUUAUCCGGAACGUCAUGAAUUUGGAUCCAGAUAUCAAUUGUGUCGAGCUUCACCAUGGUAGGCUUCGUGACACCAUCAUAGGGAACCAACACCACCGCGUUGCCCCUAAAAUUCCAGGGCCCCUCUUGCAUGACUCGUUCCCAGUCGCCUAGGCAAAACAACUGGAGGGAAUACAGAUUGUCCUCCGGCGGACGGAACUUCAUGUCAUGAGCUAGAUCCCAUGCAGCCCGCAUGUUCUUGAAAAACCAGGUUUGGCUAUAGGGUUUAUCGAUGUGAACCCUAGCCAGCGCCACCCACCUUGCAGCAUCUGGUGGCGCAUCCUUCUCGUCGUACACCACAUCAUCAAGAUCUUCCUCCCGCAGACCAAGCUUGGCCAUCAUCCUUUCCACUUCGGUAGCAGUGUUCGGUCCCGAAGACCCAGAUCCAUCUGCUGCCAUAAUCAAAGAAACUUGCCCGAGGAAACUCAGAUCGGGCGAUAAGCUAGGGGGGAACCCUAUCUCUCUUUUCUUCCCAGGACACCGAUCAAGGUCACUCGGCCCUAAUCGUUCAGUCAAGGGAGAUCGAAGGAGGGAAGGUCAAGAAAACUCGACGGCGGCGGCAGAGUCGCCUCCGGGAGAACCAAAACCCUAACUAGAGGGAACGCGGCCAGGCCCUUAUUGGGCGGCUUAAGCUCCAGCGAGCGAAACUGGUGCUCACGCGCACACCUUCGUGGGCUGGCCCAGCCAGCGAACGGACGGUCGCGGUGGAUUCCCCUGGUCGCGGUUGCCAGGCCGCGGUUGACCGAUCUGACUAUUUCACCGUUGACUAUUCAAAAAAGUGUUUUUUAAUCAGGAAUUAGAAAAUUCAUUCACAGAAAAAAGAUCACAGGUUAAACAAAGUUGACGAAUUUAGAAGAAAAAAUCCAUAAAAAUGGAAAAGGUUCAUCGAUCUUUAAAAAAAUCACUCAAUUUGAAAAAAGUUCAUCGAUUUUACAAAAGAAUUUGAUCGAUUUUGAAAAAAAAUAUCACUGAUCUUGAAAAAAAGUUCAUCAAUUUUGGAAAAAAGUUCAUAGAUUUUGAAAACAAAUCAUUGAUUUUGAAAAAAGUUCAUAAGUUUUGAAAAAAUUCCAUUCAAUGUUGAAAAAAAGUUCAUCGGAUAAGAAGAAAGAAAUGCGUUCCAAAGAAAAAAGAAAUAGAAAAGAGAAAAAGAUGUAAGAAGAAAAGAAGGAAGAAAAUGUGAACGAGCACAUCAUGUAAAGGGAGGUGGAUGUGGUGGUUAGUGCAGCGUACGAAUCCAUGAGGUCGCAGGUUCGAAAUACACCUGGCGCACGCAUGAGCAGUUUUCGCCCGCUAGCAAAAUGGUCUAUAUCGGCCGCUUGAAGCGCCAAAUAGGUAUCCAACGCUCCUGGGUCUUGCUUAUAUUAUCUGUUUUGAAUGUUUUAUAUGCAUUAGUAUGCUAUUUUAUAUUAUUUUUGAGACUAACCUAUUAACCUAGAGCCUAGUGCCAAUUCCUAUUUUCCCCCUGUUUUUGGGCUUCGCAGAAAAGGAAUACCAAACGGAAUAAAACCUUCGCGAUGAUUUUUCUUGGACAAGAAGACAACCAGGAGACUUGGAGAUGAAGUCGGAGGAGCCACGAGGCAGCCACAAGGACGGAGGGCGCGCCCAGGGGGGUAGGGCGCGCCCCCACCCUUGUGGGCCCCUCGUGCACCUCCUGACCUAAGUCUUUUGCCUAUGUAUUCCCAUAUAUCCCCAAACCACCAGAGGCAGCCAGGAAAACACUUUUCCACCGCUGCAACCUUCUGUACCCAUGAGAUUCCAUCUAGGGACCUUUUCUGGCGUCCUGCCGGAGGGGUAUUCAAUCACGGAGGGCAUCUACAUCAACACCAUUGCCCUUCCGAUGAAGCGUGGGUAGUUUACCACAGACCUACGGGUCCAUAGCUAGUAGCCAGAUGGCUUCUUCUCUCUCUUUGAUUCUAAAUACCAUGUUCUCCUCGAUGUUCUUAGAGAUCUAUUCGAUGUAAUACUUUUUUGUAGUGUGUUUGCCGAGAUAAGAUGAAUUGUGGAUUUAUGAUCAGCUUAUCUAUGAAUAUUAUUUGAAUCUCCUCUGAAUUCUUAUAUGCAUGAUUUGAUAUCUUUACAAGUCUCUUCGAACUAUCGAUUUGGUUUGGCCAACUAGAUUGGUUUUUCUUGCAAUGGGAGAAGUGCUUAGCUUUGGGUUCAAUCUUGCGGUGUCCUUUCCCAGUGACAGUAGGGGCAGUAAGGCACGUAUUGUAUUGUUGCCAUCGAGGAUAAAAAGAUGGGGUUUACAUCAUAUUACUUGAGUUUAUUCCUCUACAUCAUGUCAUCUUACUUAAUGCGUUACUCUGUUCUUCAUGAACUUAAUACUUUAGAUGUAGGCAGGAGUCGGUCGAUGUGUGGAGUAAUAGUAAUAGAUGCAAGCAUGUGUCGGUCUACUUGACACGGACGUGAUGCCUAUAUUCAUGAUCAUUACCUUAGAUAUCGUCAUAACUUUGCACUUUUCUAUCAAUUGCUCGGCAGUAAUUUGUUCACCCACCGUAAUAUCUUUUAUCUUGAGAGAAGCCUCUAGUGAAACCUAUGGCCCCCGGAUCUACUUUGCAUCAUAUAAGUUUCCGAUCUACAAUUUUAGUUUCCUAUUUACUUUCUUUACAAUCUUUUACUUUCCGUUCCAUAAACCAAAAAUACCAAAAAAUAUAUUACUUUACCAUUUAUCUAUCUCCAUCAGAUCUCACUUUACAAAUAACCAUGAAGGGAUUGACAACCCCUUUAUCGCGUUGGGUGCAAGUUGGUGUUUGUUUGUGCAGGUGAUAACCCACAAGUAUAGGGGACCACAACAGUUUUUGAGGGUAGAGUAUUCAACCCAAAUUUAUAGAUUCGACACAAGGGGAGUCAAAGAAUAUUUGAAGGUAUUAGUAGCUGAGUUGUCGAUUCAACUACACCUGGAGAUUAAUUAUCUGCAGCAAGUAAUCAGUAGCAAAGUAGUAUGAUAGUUUUGAUAAUAGUAGCAGCAGUAACGGUAACGGUAAUAGUGAUAGCAGUAUUUUGUAGCAAAUGUAACAAUGAUGAUAGUAGUAGUAACUUAGCAGAAACAAUAUAAGAUAAAUUCGUAGGCAUUGGACCGGUGACUUGUUGGAUGAUAUUCAUCAUGAGACAGUUAUAACCUAGGGCGAUACGGCACUAGCUCCAGUUUGUCAAUAUAAUGUAGGCAUGUAUUCCGUAAAUAGUCAUACAUGCUUAUGGAAAGAACUUGCAUGACAUCUGUUGUCCUACCCUCCCGUGGCAGCGGGGUCCAUAUUGGAAACUAAGGGAUAUUAAGGCCUACUUUUAAUAGAGAACCGGAACAAAGCAUUAACACAUACUGAAUACAUGAACUCCUCAAACUACGGUAAUCACCGGAAGAAGUCCUGGUUUUUGUCACUCCGGGGUUACCGGAUCAUAACACAUAGUAGGUGACUAUAACUUGCAAGAUCGGAUCUAGAACAUGGAUAUAAUGGUGAUAACAUAAACGGUUCAGAUCUGAAAUCAUGGCACCCGGGCCCAAAGUGACAAGCAUUAAGCAUGGCAAAGUCAUAGCAACACCAAUCUUAGAACAUAGUGGAUACUAGGAAUCAAGCCCUAACAAAACUAACUCGAUUACAUGAUGAAUCUCAUCCAACUCCUCACUGACCAGCGAGCCUACAAAGGAAUUACUCACUCCCGGUGGGGAGCAUCAUGGAAUUGGCGAUGGAGAAGGGUUGGUGAUGACGAAGAACGAAGAUUCCCCUCUCCGGAGCCCCAAACGGACUCCAGAUCUGGCCUCCCAAUGAAGAACAAGAGGUGAUGGCGGCUCUGUCUCAUGGAUCGCGAUAAUUCUUUCUCCCUAACUUUUUUUUCUGAAAAAAUAGGAUUUUAUAGCGUCGGUUUCAGGGUCUGCAGAGCCACCAUGUGGGGACAACCCACCUGGGCGCGCCAGGAGAGGGGGCGCGCCCUGGUGGGUCGUGCCCACCCAGGUGCCCCUCUCCGGCAGGUCUUGGCUCCAGAAAUUCUUAUUUACUGUAUAAAAAUUCCUCGCAAAGUUUCGUUCCAUUCCGAGAACUUUUAUUUCUGCAAAAAAACAACACCAUAGUAGUUGUGACGCCCCGAGACCGACGCUCCGUUUGCCUUCCUUGUUUGGCGAGUCAGCUGUGUUUUAUUUGUCUGUUGCAUUCAUCAUCGCAUCAUUUGCAUUGCAUCGGCACUUCGUUGCCGCCAUGCUUUAAAACUUGCAUCCGCUCGUAGUUGCCGCGUCCCCCCUUGCUUCCGCUGACCCUUCCGAGACCAACCUCGUUCUUCACUUGCUUAAACCGGAGUCCCUCUUUGCACAGUGCUUCGCCCCCUCGCGCGCGUCCGAAAUUUGUCCCGAACCCGAACCGGACUUUCGUUACCGUUGGGUCCGGAUCAUCCCCUAACAUCUACAAAACAUCACCAUUUUCUUUGUUGGACGCCCAUAGCCUAUUUUUUCUCGACCGUUGAUUUCGAUCGGAGGGACUAGCCCCUAACCUAAUUCCCUGCUAUUUAUACUCGAGGUCCAGCCCUAAAAGUUAGGAGGCUUGUCCCAUCCCCAUUCGGCCGCCGCCACUCCAAAAAUCCCCCUCGGGAUCCAUCCCCAACCUACCAGCCUUCUCCUUCCCGAUCCAUCCAACCACCACAGCCCACGCAGACCUCCCCGUUCCCCUCGUCGCGAGCCAGGGAGAGGAGCUCCCUGCCGCCUCCCACCUGCUCGUCCCCGUGCCCACAGCCGCGGAGCUAUAGCCGUCACGCCAAGGCCGGCGCCCCUCUGCUCAGCUCGCCUCGGACCAGCAGCAGGUCUGGACGACCUCAAGCAGGCACGGCCACCCGAGAGGCCUAGCCCCGAUGAGACCCCAUGUCGCCUUCGUCCUUGCCACCUCCGGCCAGAUCCGGAGGUUCGCCGCCCCUCUCCGUCCCCGCAGUCCCGCGUUGCCGCCGCCUUGCUCCGUCCCCGCCGUUUCCUGCCGACGGCCUCCUCUCAAGCCCGGCGCCGCCAAGCUGCUUCCCCGCUGGAUCUCGCCGUCCCGCCAUGAACCCGUCCAGCCAGGUCGCCCCGUCGCGUUUCCCCCUCCUUCCUUGGUUCUCCUUUCUCAUCCCCGUGCCUCAUCUCUCUCUUUUGCGGGUUUCUGCAGGAGCAGCAGCAACCACCAUGGACGCCGCGCCCAUGCCUUCCUCCCCGCCUGGAUCCGACGUGGAUUCGUCGUUUCCCACUACUCCGGCCUCCCUCGCCUUUUCCCGCGUCACCGGAGCCCCGCGUCGCCUCCCUGGAACGAACGUCGUCGCUGCCGUCUCAUGCGUCGAGCCCUCGUUGACCUCUAGCGAACGCCAAGUCCACGGUGUCACCGGCCUCUAUUUCCCUGCUCCAGAUCGAGCGCCUUGCUCGCGUUGACCGUGUCGCUGCCCAGCCGGCCACUCCAGCGCCAAGGCCCGGCCUUCUCCAACCUGCCCCGCGCCCCUCUUGGGUUUCCUCCACCGAACCGGGCCGAAGCCCAUGGGUGAGCUCCGCACAGUCCCUCCUCUCUGUUGCAGCCCCAGGUGGCCACUUCGUCAGCCCGAGCGGCCAGGCCUGCAGCCAGCUCCACCCACGGGCCAAGGCCCAUGGUGAGGCCCCCAGCGCCCUUUGUUUUUUUUCCUCUGUUGGGCUUCCUAUUCACUUUCGGCCCAUGUGAUGUUUUUUUUUCAGGAUCUGCGAAUUUCUCUAUUAUCCAGAGAAUUACAAUUUUACAGUAAAACCCCUCAUGUUCAUGCAUUAAUAAUUAAUUAACCGUGCAUCUUUUGUAAAUAAUUUAUAUAUGUAAAAUGCUCAGAAAUUUGUGUAGUUUAAUAAUAUGCCACUUUCACCCAUGUUAAAAUUGUUUAAAAUGCUGUUUGUUUAAUUUUUCUCAAAUAACAUGUUAAAAUGAUUUAUUUCAUAACUAAUUAACCGUAACUCGGAAUUUAAUAAACUUUAUAUGUAAAUGGGGUAGAAAAAUGCCUAGUUUAACAUGGUGCACUUCAUUUUGCUGUUUAAAAAUAUUAAAAUUGCGUUUAUGGCAGAACAGUACCAAUCCCAAUAUAUGGACAUGAGGAUUUUCCGGAUUUGUUGUUGUUUGUUUCCGGCCUCAUUUAACUUGCUUAAAUAGGUAGUUUCCUUAUGCUUCACCUCUUGCCAUGGUUAACAACAUUUAACAUUGUUGGGUACAUAACGAGAGCGAACUAAAUAAUUAAAUGUGGUGUUUCGUCAAUAUGCAAUGUAGUGUUGUUUGUUGCACUUUGCCAUGCCAUGCCUCUUUAAACCGGACAUGCAUCAUAUUUGUUUUUGCAUCAUGUCAUGUGUAUGUGGUGGUUGUUUACUUUGCUGGUUUUUUUUUCAGUUUGCUUCUCUCGUUAGCUUCGGUUUCGUUCCGGAGUUGUGAGGAUUCGUUCGACUACAUCCGUUUGUCUUCUUCAUGGACUCGUUCUUCUUCCUUGCGGGAUCUCAGGCAAGAUGACCAUACCCUCAAAAUCACUUCUAUCUUUGCUUGCUAGUUGUUCGCUCUAUUGCUAUGCCGCGUUACCUAUUCACUUGCUCUUCAAGCCUCCCAAAUUGCCAUGAAACCACCUCUAACCUUUGUCGCCCUUCCUAGCAAACCGUUGUUUGGCUAUGUUACCGCUUUGCUCAGCCCCUCUUAUAGCGUUGCUAGUUGCAGGUGAAGAUGAAGAUUGCUCCAUGUUGGAUUAUGUUUAUGUUGGGAUAUCACAAUAUCUCUUAUUUAUUUAAUGCAUCUAUAUACUUGGUAAAGGGUGGAAGGCUCGGCCUUAUGCCUGGUGUUUUGUUCCACUCUUGCCGCCCUAGUUUCCGUCUUACCGGUGUUAUGUUCCUUGAUUUUUGCGUUCCUUAGCGGUUGGGUGUUUUAUGGGACCCCCUUGACAGUUCGCUUUGAAUAAAACUCCUCCAGCAAGGCCCAACCUUGGUUUUAUCAUUUGCUACCACCUAUCCCCUUUUCCCUUGGGUUCUGCAGACUCAAGGGUCAUCUUUAUUUUAGACCCCCCCGGGCCAGUGCUCCUUCGAGUGUUGGUCCGAACCGAGCAGCCUGCGGGGCCACCUCGGGGAAACUCGAGGUCUGGUUUUACUCGUAGCUUGACUUAUCCGGUGUGCCCUGAGAACGAGAUAUGUGCAGCUCCUAUCGGGAUUUGUCGGCACAUUCGGGCGGCUUUGCUGGUCUUGUUUUACCAUUGUCGAAAUGUCUUGUAAACCGGGAUUCCGAGACUGAUCGGGUCUUCCUGGGAGAAGGUUUAUCCUUCAUUGACCGUGAGAGCUUAUGAUGGGCUAAGUUGGGACACCCCUGCAGGGUAUUAUCUUUCGAAAGCCGUGCCCGCGGUUAUGUGGCAGAUGGGAAUUUGUUAAUGUCCGGUUGUAGAGAACUUGACACUCGACUUAAUUAAAAUACAUCAACCGCAUGUGUAGCCGUGAUGGUCUCUUGUCGGCGGAGUCCGGGAAGUGAACACGGUUUCUGGGUUAUGUUUGACGUAAGUAGGAGUUCAGGAUCACUUCUUGAUCAUUGCUAGUUCACGACCGUUCCGUUGCUUCUCUUCUCGCUCUCCUUUGCGUAUGUUAGCCACCAUAUAUGCUUAGUGCUUGCUGCAGCUCCACCUCAUUACACCAUCCUUUCCUAUAAGCUCAAAUAGUCUUGAUCUCGCGGGUGUGAGAUUGCUGAGUCCUCGUGACUCACAGAUACUUUCAAAACAGUUGCAGGUGCCGAUGAGACCAGUGCAGAUGACGCAACCGAGCUCAAGUGGGAGCUCGAUGAAGAUCUUGUCCGUUGUGUUGUUUCUUUUCAUAUUGAUCAGUAGUGGAGCCCAGUUGGGACGAUCAGGGAUCUGGCAGUUGGGUUGUCUUCUUUUCUUUUGGUUCCGUAGUCGGACCUAUGUGUGUAUCUCUGAAUGAUGUAUGUUUUAUUUAUGUAUUGUGUGAAGUGGCGAUUGUAAGCCAACUCUUUAUCCCAUUCUUGUUCAUUACAUGGGAUUGUGUGAAGAUGACCCUUCUUGCGACAAAACCACAAUGCGGUUAUGCCUCUAAGUCGUGCCUCGACACGUGGGAGAUAUAGCCGCAUCGUGGGUGUUACAAGUUGGUAAUCAGAGCCAUCCCCGACUUAGGAGCCCCCUGCUUGAUCGAAUCGCUGGCGUUGUUGAGUCUAGAACAAAAAUGUUUUGAGUCUUAGGAUUAUAUAUAUCGGAGAGUAGGAUUCUUUUUACUCCUCAGUCCCUUCGUCGCUCUGGUGAGGUCUCCUGACAUAGAAGUUUUGACUAUUCUCUCCUCAAAUUUCACUAAAAAAAAUUUAGGAUCACGCGGGUAUCUUGGAAUCGUUCCGAUGGUUUUGUGACGAGAACAUUGUUCUUGGUGCCUCCUGACAUUUAGGGGUUGUGGCAGUGUCCCGGGGAGUUGAGCUCCGAGGUGUUGUCGUCACAAUUUUAUCGUUGCAGUUCUGGAAUACCUGAGUUUCGCCGACAUCGAAAUCUCUUUUAUGCAGUUGUUGGUGAGAUCACCUCGACGCCACCCAGUACUGGGGCGGGAGUUCGGGAGUAUUGCCAUAACUUGUAUAACGGAUGUUUUUUCGAAGGUUGAGGUAAACGAUUUCCGGAGUUUUCUUGGUUAUGUGUUGACGGAUGGAUACAGCUGGAUCUAGGUAUUGUUAGUUUGGGUGAUAUAUUUUGUGUCCCCUGUAUCCCCAACACCAGAUUGCAUAACCAGAAAGUUUCGGGAGUUUAUAAGUGGGAAUUCAAGUAGCUCUUAGGAUAUCUUUCCGACAGAUGCAUGAUAUGAGAUUGGGGUUCGACGUCUAGUGGUCCGCCUGUACACGGUUGAUUUUACAGUGGUCUCGUAGUUUCUUAAAGAGUCCAUGGCUAUGCCGACUCGGGGACGCUUCGUAUGUCAUGUGCACUGCCUUGUACAUGAUGGUGCUGUACGAUCGAGCCCGUGUGGGCCCCACCACGAAAAUUUUGGACGGAAUCUCUAUCAUAUGUUUGUUCCGGCUUAUUCUGCAAGCCAAAUCCCUUGUUUUGUUUUAUUUGUGGUAUUCGAGUUGCUUCAAUGACAAGUGUUGAUUCCAUACCUUAUUCUAAGUGGUGUUCUCAUAUUUCUAUGUGGAUGAUAAUCCUUCUUGAUCAUCGAGGUCGUCAUGUUAAUUCCUUCCAACCGGCGUGUUUCUCUUCAAGAUGAUCCCAUCAUUCUCCCCAUCCGCAAGAUCAAUUCUAAGCGUUUUCUCAACGGUGUUUGUUUCAUCCGUCCCAAGGUGACUUUGUUUUUCCCGCCCUCCCACCCUUUUUCUUCAAGGACUCAGAUUUAUUAAUCAAGUAUCCUUUUUAUUGAUGCAAAGUCUCUUCAUUCUUUUCUUUCAAUGUUCUUACCCGGUGGUUCUCAUGAAGUUGUUCUUCAAGUUUAUCAUUCUUCAUGCUUUUUCUUCUCCGGUGGAUUCAAUUCAAGCUUUGUCGAUCAUAUUCUUUCCUUGUUUCAAAUGCUUUCUCAUGCUGGUGUACCUUUUAAUCAUCCACUUCUCGCCAUUCAUUGGUUCCGGAGUGUACAAGAUAUCUCAGAAGAUUUGUGUAUCCAUUAUCAAUCUGUUCAAGCUAUUCUGAGGUUGUUAUCUCAUUAAAGCCAUUUAAUUCAACCGGUGUAUUCUAUCUUUCAAGCAAUCUUUCCAACGGUGUUUCUUUUGAGUGGGCCCUAACCCACAGGUCUUUUUUUCCAGGAUCUUACCUGACUCUUCUAAUUCUUUCCGGAGUUAUUCUCAAAUUCAUUGCAAAGUUUGACGUAAGAAUGAGUUAUCAUCAGUCAUAUUUCUUCUCCAAGAUCGCUUUCAAAUUCUUUUCAUCGUUGGUUCAACCUUUCUAAUUUUUCAUCCCGGAGUAUCUCAAUAAUUAAUGGUGGUGUUUCUCAUCAUCAUUCUCCGCAUUUGAAGACCGAAGAAGAAUUUCUCUUGAAUCUUGGUCCAUUCUCUUGAAGAUUCAUGGUUCUAGCUUAUGCCAUCCUCUCAUAAUUGUUUUCGAUUGUGAGAAUUCUUCUCAUACCCAUCCGGAGCAUUUCAUGAGUUGUUUUCAUUUCUUGAUCAUCCAAAGGCCAUCAUUUCAGAAGAUUUCUUCGUUCUAAGUUUUCAGCUUCGUUCUUCAAUUAUUCUAAAUUGAAGUCUUCUUCGGUCACCUCCAUAUUAUUCCGGUGCACCGUUCAAAUAUCCUCUAGUCAGCUCGUGAUCUAUUCGUUCUCAUGUAUCUAAUUCCCUCAAGUUUUUUCGCGUUCUUUAAUUCUUACGGUGUUUCAUCCUCUUUUCUUCAAUUGUUUUCAAUUCUCGCGGUGGUUCGUUCAAAAUUUUCUCUUCCUUCGUUAUCAUAUCAAUUUAUUCGUUGUUUCAAUCCUACCGGUGGUUCGAUAAAGACCUUCCCAAGUUUGUGCAAUAUCUAUCUUAAUCCUUUCUACGAGAAUAAGUAGUAUGCAAGAUCCGUUGAUUGUCAUCAAUCUAAAUUGGUGAAGGAUACGCGUAAUGUAAUUCUUAUUCUUGUUUCAUCCAAGUGUUUAAUCCUUUCUUUUGGAGUUCGUUCAUGAUAUCAAAUUCUCGGUUCCAAGUUGUUCAUCUUUUCUUUCCGGAGCUUCAAGUUAUUUCAAUUAUAUCAUUUCAAAGCUUCAUCUAAUCAUUGCAAGGCUUCUCCUGGAGUUCUUUUCAAUUUUCCCUUUCGUUUGAUCAUUCUUUUAUUAUCGGAGUUCUUCAUGGAGGAUCAACAUGGUGGCUCAUCAAGGAUUCCUUUCAUUCUUCAAUUGUUCGUCAAGAUUUCUCUCGGAGUUAUGAUCCGCCAAGCUAUACUCUUAAAUAAACAUGGUGUUCAACACAUGUUUUGUUUUGAGGAGUUCAAGCAUUCUUCAUCUUGCAUUCUGAAGUGCAAUUCUCUCUAUCUUAUCUUUUGGGAUGGUGUUAUGUCAAUUUUGACAAUUUCCUUCAUGUUUCAUGAUUCACAAGUUGUCCGGAAUGACAUAUUUUAAAACCAUCAAUUUCUAUUCGUUCACGAGAUCUUUUCAAUCCUUUAAUCUCUUCGUUGGAUCUAUCUUGUGUCAUGUUUCACCUAAAGCCUUCCCUAAGGAAUAUUGCUAUUAUGGUGUCUAUCAAUGAUCCAAAAUUUCUCCUAUCCUCUCGGCGAGAGAAGUUUUCAUCUCUUCGUUGAUCUCAAGCAAGCAAUUGUUUUUGUUAGUGGCAGAAUUUCACCUCAAGUUUUGAGAUGUUUUCCAUAAGCCCACUACAAGCUUGUUCUUUUAGUUGUUGGUUUUUUCCAACAACUCCGUUAUAACCUUCUUGCAAGGAUACUUUCCAAAGUCAUUUGUGGAAGGUGUUGUCAUUUUCUUCUCCAUUCUUUAUUCCAAGGAUCUAUCUUCCGGAGGCAUUGUGAUGUUGCUCUCUUCACUCAUCUUCUCGGUUUGUGAGGACCGUGUUCUUUUCAUGCUUAUCCAUUUUCAACCGGAGUGUCGUGCCCUCUUUUCAAGUUCUUCCCAUUCUGGCAAGUUUUGCCUCCCUUCUCAACCGGAGUGCUGUCUGAAAUCUUUCUUACCCCUUGUGCCAUUCUUUCUUUAGUUCCGGAGGCAAUGUGUUGUUAAUUUCAUCGAGUAUCCUCUCAUCUUGUCAAGAUCAUGUUCAAUUCCUUCCAUUUACAGUCGGAGUGCUGCCCAAAUUAUAUCAUUCUUAUUCCUUCCUAUCUUGUUUUAACCGGAGUGGUUUAAAUAUCUAUCGUGUCAAUUAACCUCAAGGUUCACAUGGUGUUCCUUGUCUCUCUUUUCUAUCGGUGUGCUUUCAUAUUCCUUUUGAUCCGUUAAGCUCUCGUUUCAUAUUCUUCAACCUACAAAGGUUCUCGCAAUGUUCAUUGUUCCUCUUGCUGAACGGAGUGUUUUAAAUUUUGUUCAUCUCCGUUGUGUCAUUUCCUCAAGCUUUGCAACCUCUCAAGGUUCUUUGGUUUCACUCGUUUGUCAAAGAAGCAACUUAGCUUUACCUUUUCUCUUCCUCUUCCGUUUUUCUCCGGUGCCAUCCUAGAUCUCGGGACGAGAUCCUCUUGUAGUGGUGGAGUGUUGUGACGCCCCGAGACCGACGCUCCGUUUGCCUUCCUUGUUUGGCGAGUCAGCUGUGUUUUAUUUGUGUGUUGCACUCAUCAUCGCAUCAUUUGCAUUGCAUCGGCACUUCGUUGCCGCCAUGCUUUAAAACUUGCAUCCGCUCGUAGUUGCCGCAUCCCCCCUUGCUUCCGCUGACCCUUCUGAGACCAACCUCGUUCUUCGUUUUCCCUCUUGCUUAAACCGGAGUCCCUCUUUGCAAAGUGCUUCGCCCCCUCGCGCGCGUCCGAAAUUUGUCCCGAACUCGAACCGGACUUUCGUUACCGUUGGGUCCGGAUCAUCCACUAACAUCUACAAAACAUCACCGUUUUCUUUGUUGGACGCCCAUAGCCUAUUUUUUCUCGACCGUUGAUUUCGAUCGGAGGGACUAGCCCCUAACCUAAUUCCCUGCUAUUUAUACACGAGGUCCAACCCUAAAAGUUAGGAGGCUUGUCCCAUCCCCAUUCGGCCACCGCCACUCCAAAAAUCCCCCUCGGGAUCCAUCCCCAACCUACCAGCCUUCUCCUUCCCGAUCCAUCCAACCACCACAACCCACGCAGACCUCCCCGUUCCCCUCGUCGCGAGCCAGGGAGAGGAGCUCCCUGCCGCCUCCCACCUACUCGUCCCCGUGCCCACAGCCGCGGAGCUAUAGCCGUCACGCCAAGGCCGGCGCCCCUCUGCUCAGCUCGCCUCGGACCAGCAGCAGGUCUGGACGACCUCAAGCAGGCACGGCCACCCGAGAGGCCUAGCCCCGAUGAGACCCCAUGUCGCCUUCGUCCUUGCCACCUCCGGCCAGAUCCGGAGGUUCGCCGCCCCUCUCCGUCCCCGCAGUCCCGCGUUGCCGCCGCCUUGCUCCGUCCCCGCCGUUUCCUGCCAACGGCCUCCUCUCAAGCCCGGCGCCGCCAAGCUGCUUCCCCGCUGGAUCUCGCCGUCCCGCCAUGAACCCGUCCAGCCAGGUCGCCCCGUCGCGUUUCCCCCUCCUUCCUUGGUUCUCCUUUCUCAUCCCCGUGCCUCAUCUCUCUCUUUUGCGGGUUUCUGCAGGAGCAGCAGCAACCACCAUGGACGCCGCGCCCAUGCCUUCCUCCCCGCCUGGAUCCGACGUGGAUUCGUCGUUUCCCACUACUCCGGCCUCCCUCGCCUUUUCCCGCGUCACCGGAGCCCCGCGUCGCCUCCCUGGAACGAACGUCGUCGCUGCCGUCUCAUGCGUCGAGCCCUCGUUGACCUCUAGCGAACGCCAAGUCCACGGUGUCACCGGCCUCUAUUUCCCUGCUCCAGAUCGAGCGCCUUGCUCGCGUUGACCGUGUCGCUGCCCAGCCGGCCACUCCAGCGCCAAGGCCCGGCCUUCUCCAACCUGCCCCGCGCCCCUCUUGGGUUUCCUCCACCGAACCGGGCCGAAGCCCAUGGGUGAGCUCCGCACAGUCCCUCCUCUCUGUUGCAGCCCCAGGUGGCCACUUCGUCAGCCCGAGCGGCCAGGCCUGCAGCCAGCUCCACCCACGGGCCAAGGCCCAUGGUGAGGCCCCCAGCGCCCUUUGUUUUUUUCCUCUGUUGGGCUUCCUAUUCACUUUCGGCCCAUGUGAUGUUUUUUUUUCAGGAUCUGCGAAUUUCUCUAUUAUCCAGAGAAUUACAAUUUUACAGUAAAACCCCUCAUGUUCAUGCAUUAAUAAUUAAUUAACCGUGCAUCUUUUGUAAAUAAUUUAUAUAUGUAAAAUGCUCAGAAAUUUGUGUAGUUUAAAAAUAUGCCACUUUCACCCAUGUUAAAAUUGUUUAAAAUGCUGUUUGUUUAAAUUUGCUCAAAUAACAUGUUAAAAUGAUUUAUUUCAUAACUAAUUAACCGUAACUCGGAAUUUAAUAAACUUUAUAUGUAAAUGGGGUAGAAAAAUGCCUAGUUUAACAUGGUGCACGUCAUUUUGCUGUUUAAAAAUAUUAAAAUUGUGUUUAUGGCAGAACAGUACCAAUCCCAAUAUAUGGACAUGAGGAUUUUCCGGAUUUGUUGUUGUUUGUUUCCGGCCUCAUUUAACUUGCUUAAAUAGGUAGUUUCCUUAUGCUUCACCUCUUGCCAUGGUUAAUAACAUUGAACAUUGUUGGGUACAUAACGAGAGCGAACUAAAUAAUUAAAUGUGGUGUUUCGUCAAUAUGCAAUGUAGUGUUGUUUGUUGCACUUUGCCAUGCCAUGCCUCUUUAAACCGGACAUGCAUCAUAUUUGUUUUUGCAUCAUGUCAUGUGUAUGUGGUGGUUGUUUACUUUGCUGUUUUUUUUUUCGGUUUGCUUCUCUCGUUAGCUUCGGUUUCGUUCCGGAGUUGUGAGGAUUCGUUCGACUACAUCCGUUUGUCUUCUUCAUGGACUCGUUCUUCUUCCUUGCGGGAUCUCAGGCAAGAUGACCAUACCCUCGAAAUCACUUCUAUCUUUGCUUGCUAGUUGUUCACUCUAUUGCUAUGCCGCGUUACCUAUUCACUUGCUCUUCAAGCCUCCCAAAUUGCCAUGAAACCACCUCUAACCUUUGUCACCCUUCCUAGGAAACCGUUGUUUGGCUAUGUUACGGCUUUGCUCAGCCCCUCUUAUAGCGUUGCUAGUUGCAGGUGAAGAUGAAGAUUGCUCCAUGUUGGAUUAUGUUUAUGUUGGGAUAUCACAAUAUCUCUUAUUUAUUUAAUGCAUCUAUAUACUUGGUAAAGGGUGGAAGGCUCGGCCUUAUGCCUGGUGUUUUGUUCCACUCUUGCCGCCCUAGUUUCCGUCUUACCGGUGUUAUGUUCCUUGAUUUUUGCGUUCCUUACGCGGUUGGGUGUUUUAUGGGACCCCCUUGACAGUUCGCUUUGAAUAAAACUCCUCCAGCAAGGCCCAACCUUGGUUUUAUCAUUUGCUACCACCUAUCCCCUUUUCCCUUGGGUUCUGCAGACUCAAGGGUCAUCUUUAUUUUAGACCCCCCGGGCCAGUGCUCCUUCGAGUGUUGGUCCGAACCGAGCAGCCUGCGGGGCCACCUCGGGGAAACUCGAGGUCUGGUUUUACUCGUAGCUUGACUUAUCCGGCGUGCCCUGAGAACGAGAUAUGUGCAGCUCCUAUCGGGAUUUGUCGGCACAUUCGGGCGGCUUUGCUGGUCUUGUUUUACCAUUGUCGAAAUGUCUUGUAAACCGGGAUUCCAAGACUGAUCGGGUCUUCCUGGGAGAAGGUUUAUCCUUCGUUGACCGUGAGAGCUUAUGAUGGGCUAAGUUGGGACACCCCUGCAGGGUAUUAUCUUUCGAAAGCCGUGCCCGCGGUUAUGUGGCAGAUGGGAAUUUGUUAAUGUCCGGUUGUAGAGAACUUGACACUCGACUUAAUUAAAAUACAUCAACCGCGUGUGUAGGCGUGAUGGUCUCUUGUCGGCGGAGUCCGGGAAGUGAACACGGUUUCUGGGUUAUGUUUGACGUAAGUAGGAGUUCAGGAUCACUUCUUGAUCAUUGCUAGUUCACGACCGUUCCGUUGCUUCUCUUCUCGCUCUCCUUUGCGUAUGUUAGCCACCAUAUAUGCUUAGUGCUUGCUGCAGCUCCACCUCAUUACACCAUCCUUUCCUAUAAGCUCAAAUAGUCUUGAUCUCGCGGGUGUGAGAUUGCUGAGUCCUCGUGACUCACAGAUACUUUCAAAACAGUUGCAGGUGCCGAUGAGACCAGUGCAGAUGACGCAACCGAGCUCAAGUGGGAGCUCGAUGAAGAUCUUGUCCGUUGUGUUGUUUCUUUUCAUAUUGAUCAGUAGUGGAGCCCAGUUGGGACGAUCAGGGAUCUGGCAGUUGGGUUGUCUUCUUUUCUUUUGGUUCCGUAGUCGGACCUAUGUGUGUAUCUCUGAAUGAUGUAUGUUUUAUUUAUGUAUUGUGUGAAGUGGCGAUUGUAAGCCAACUCUUUAUCCCAUUCUUGUUCAUUACAUGGGAUUGUGUGAAGAUGACCCUUCUUGCGACAAAACCACAAUGCGGUUAUGCCUCUAAGUCGUGCCUCGACACGUGGGAGAUAUAGCCGCAUCGUGGGUGUUACAGUAGUUCUGCUGAAAACAGCGUCAGUCCGGGGUUAGUUUCAUUCAAAUCAGGCAAAUUAGAGUCCAAAACAAGAGGAAAAGUAGAUAUGUUGGAGACGUAUCAACUCCCCCAAGCUUAAACCUUUGCUUGUCCUCAAGCAAUUCAGUUCAUAAAUGAAAGUGAAAAGAAGAACUUUUACGAAUUCUAUUGCUCUUGUUUGCAUAAAUAAGCUUAAACAGCACCCUAGUUUUCGGCCAACAUUAUAACUAACCAUGCCAACAAUAACUCUUAAAGAUUAUAAUGACUCAUAUCAAUGACAUAAUCAGCUAGCGAGCAAUAAUAAGGUAUCUCAAACGGCAACACAUUGUCAAAACAAUCAUGAUAUAAUAUGAUAAUAGUGGUAUCUCGCUAGCCCUUUAUGAGACCGCAAAAUAUAAAUGCAGAGCACCUCCAAAGUUCAAGUAGCGACUAAACAUUGUAAUUCAUGUUAGAAAAGAUCCAGUCAUGAUGCACCCAACAUUAGCUACACACAAUGCAUAAGUCAUGACAGCUGUGCUCUCAGGUUCUAGCGCUUGUUUCUUUUUUUUGACUGAAUACAGUGAGGCAAAAGCCCCACAACCUUUUAUUAAAUAAAACCACUAAGGGUCCUUACAAUGAACAAAACAUAAAAUAACUUACCUAUACAAACUUACUAUUUACAAAAAUAUACAAGGUUACCCUCUAAACAACACUGAGGCAGAUUCUCAAUCCAUGUUAGGAGGAGAGGUCUCACAGAGGUCUUAAACCUAUGUGACAGCAGGGUAAUAUCAUGGAUGAAAUUCCACUUUCAUGCUCCAAAAGUUGGUUGCUCAUCCCUGAAAAUUCUGCCAUUUCUGAUCAGCCAUAUGUUCCAAGAUGCAACAAAAACUACCUCAAGGAAGAAAGGAUGCCCAAAACUUCUGCUUGCCUGCAAGAUGCAUUUUUUGGGAGAUAAACCUUGUUGCCAAAGGAUCUGAAGAUAGUUCCGAACUCUGGUAGCAAAAACACAUGUAAAAAUUAAAUGAUCCCGAGCUUCCAGAGUUUGAGUUGGGCAAAUUGGACAAUUGUUGUCCUCAUCCAGAGAUCUCCAAUGCCUCCUCAAGAGCAUAUCCCUGGUAUUCAAUCUAUCAUUUAACAGCAACCAUGCAAACACCUUGAUUUUCAUAGUGCAUCUGCUACUCCACAACCAUUUGCUCGGCUCAUCCGGGGGCAUAUGAGCAUGCAUCACUUUGUAAUAACUCUUUGCUGAGAAAGGACCCUUGGCAGGAACCCAGUUCCAGAUGUCAUUGUCAAUAUCAUUUCUCUGCAUUGAAUUUAACCCAGCUAGAAUGUCAUGAAACUCAGUCAAGGCUUCCAUUGAUAGGGGUAGGUGAAAAAGAUCAGCUGGGUCUGGAUUGAGAGCAAAAUCUUGGACAGAUAUCUUGUCAUCAAUGACAUAUGAGAACAGUCUAGGAUAUCUUUCUUUUAUAGGGUUAGAAUUUCCCAUGAAGUGUCAAGUUUCAUGCUAGAAAAGGGCAGAAUCUCCCCUAUGAACUAUGAUCUUAGAGUGAGCUCUGAAAGUGUCAUUCAAUUUCAUUAUAUCCCUCCACCAAAAGGAAUCACAAAGAAUAGUGGCAUGUGGUACUCAACCAUCAUAGUAUGUUGACCAGAUUAAAGAAACCCAAGGUAUAUCAGCCUUAUUAUAGAAUUUCGACAGAUGCUUUGUAAGGAGAGCCUUGUUCUGCACUGCCAGAUUUAGGAUCCCCAUACCACCAUUCUCCUUGGGUCUGCAAACCAUAGGCCAAGUAGCUAAGGAUUGCUUAGGUGUGUCCGAAUUACCUCUCCACAAGCACUGCCUUAGAAUCCUCUCAAGCUGUUUUAUGAUACCCAAAGGGAGGCUCAGGCUGCAUAAGAAAUAGAUUGGCAUGGAUGAUAAUGCAGAUAAAACCAACUGCAGUCUUGACCCUUGAGAUAAAAAGCAAGAAGUUGUUGUCAACCUUCUUUCCAUUCUAUCCACCACUGGUACCAAGUCUUGAAUUCUGGGUUUGGUGGUGCCAACUGGGAGGCCUAGGUAAGUGAAAGGUAAAGAUCCCACUUGACAUCCAAAAAGUGUAGCCAAUCUAGCAGUUUCCACAGUGUCCACAUUAAUUGGGAGAAUACAGGAUUUGUGAAAAUUCACCUUAAGACUAGUUGAGGCCUGAAAAUCCAGUAGCAUGUUUUUGAGAGAAACAAUCUGGGCAUCAACAACAGGUAUAAUUAGUAACGUAUCAUCAGCAUACUGGACUAUAGGAAAAUCAGGGUUAUUUGUCUCAAUGGGCAAGGUCAGUUCUCCUCUGGUGAGCAUAUCAUUAGUAACUAACUGCAGUAGAUCAGUAGCAAUAACAAAUAACAUAGGUGAGAGUGGAUCACCUGCCAAACACCAGUCUUGCAUUCAAACUAUUUUCCAGGUACUCCAUUGAGAAGAACAGAUGAAGAACCAGAACCCAAAUGUUCUUUAACCCAGGAUAUCCACUUAUCAUCAAAACCCUUGUACUUUAACAUCAGAAGAAUCAAAUCACGCUCUACAGUGUCAAAGGCCUUGGCAAAAUCAAGCUUUAGGAUCAAUAUUGGCUUCCUGGAUGCAUGACAUUGGUGAAGAUACUCAAGUGUCCAUGCAAUACAAUCUUGAAUUGAUCCACUCUUGAGGAAACCAUAUUGAUUUUUUUGUAUACAGGCCAAGAUAACUUUCAGCAACGUAUUAGACAAGUAUUUGUCAAAGAGAUUGGCCUAAAAUCGUUGGGACCCUCAGGAGAAAGAAUCUUUGGUAUGAGGGUGAUUAGGGAACCAUUAAUACUAGCAAGGCUAACAUUCCCUGCCCAGAAAUCAUUUAUGAGCUACAUGAAAUCUUCCUUAAUUAUAUGCCAACAUCUUUUUACAAACAGUCCAGUAAAACCAUCAGGACUAGGUGCUCUGUCAACUGGUAAUUCCUUCAACACUGUGUUGAUUUCAUCCUGGGUAAAGGGGGAUGAGAGAGAUUCUAAUCAUGGUACUUGAUGAAUGAGAUUUUGCAGGUCAAACUGAAGGAAAUAUGCCCUAGAGGCAAUAAUAAAGUUAUUAUUUAUUUCCUUAUAUCAUGAUAAAUGUUUAUUAUUCAUGCUAGAAUUGUAUUAACCGGAAACAUAAUAAUUGUGUGAAUACAUAGACAAACAGAGUGUCACUAGUAUGCCUCUACUUGACUAGCUCGUUGAUCAAAGAUGGUUAUGUUUCCUAACCAUAGACAUGAGUUGUCAUUUGAUUAAAGGGAUCACAUCAUUAGGAGAAUGAUGUGAUUGACUUGACCCAUUCCGUUAGCUUAGCACUUGAUCGUUUUAGUAUUCUGCUAUUGCUUUCUUCAUGACUUAUACAUGUUCCUAUGACUAUGAGAUUAUGCAACCCCCGUUUACCGGAGGAACACUUUGUGUGCUACCAAACAUCACAACGUAACUAAGUGAUUAUAAAGGUGCUCUACAGGUGUCUUCGAAGGUACUUGUUGGGUUGGCAUAUUUCGAGAUUAGGAUUUGUCACUCCGAUUGUCGGAGAGGUAUCUCUGGGCCCACUCGGUAAUGCACAUCACUAUAAGCCUUGCAAGCAUUGUAACUAAUGAGUUAGUUGCGGGAUGAUGCAUUACAGAACGAGUAAAGAGACUUGCCGGUAACGAGAUUGAACUAGGUAUUGAGAUACCAACGAUCGAAUCUCGGGCAAGUAACAUACCGAUGACAAAGGGAACAACGUAUAUUGUUAUGCGGUUUGACCGAUAAAGAUCUUCGUAGAAUAUGUGGGAUCCAAUAUGAACAUCCAGGUUCCGCUAUUGGUUAUUGACCAGAGACGUGUCUCGGUCAUGUCUACAUAGUUCUCGAACCCGUAGGGUCCGCACGCUUAAAGUUUGAUGACGAUCGGUAUUAUGAGUUUUGUGUUUUGAUGUACCGAAGGUAGUUCAGAGUCCCGGAUGUGAUCACGGACAUGACGAGGAGUCUCGAAAUGGUCGAGAGAUAAAGAUCGAUAUAUUGGACGACUAUAUUCGGACACCGGAAGUGUUCCGGGUGAUUUCGGAGAAAACCGGAGUGCCGGAGGGUUACCGGAACCCCCCCGGGAGAAGUAAUGGGCCUUAUGGGCCUUGGUGGAGAGAGAGGGCUGGCCGCGCGCCCCUCCCCCCUUGGUCCGAAUUGGACUAGGAGAGGGGGGGGGGGCGGCGCCCCCCUUUCCUUCUCCCUCUCCCCCUUCCUUUCCCCCUCCUAGUAGGAGUAGGAAAGAGGGGGUCCUACUCCUACUAGGAGGAGGACUCCUCCUCCUGGCGCGCCCCCUAGGGCCGGCCUCCUCCCCCUGCUCCUCUAUAUACGGGGGUAGAUCAUAUGUUCAGAUCCUAUAUGCAUAUUAUUACCCCUCUGAUUAUGAACAUGAAUAUGCUUUGUGAGUAGUUACGUUUGUUCCUGAGGACAUGGGAGAAGUCUUGCUAUUAGUAGUCAUGUGAAUUUGGUAUUCGUUCGAUAUUUUGAUGAGAUGUAUGUUGUCUCUCCUCUAGUGGUGUUAUGUGAACGUCGACUACAUGACACUUCACCGUUAUUUGGGCCUAGAGGAAGGCAUUGGGAAGUAAUAAGUAGAUGAUGGGUUGCUAGAGUGACAGAAGCUUAAACCCUAGUUUAUGCGUUGCUUCGUAAGGGGCUGAUUUGGAUCCAUAUGUUUCAUGCUAUGGUUAGGUUUACCUUAAUACUUCUUUUGUAGUUGCGGAUGCUUGCAAGAGUCGUUAAUCAUAAGUGGGAUGUUUGUCCAAGUAAGGGCAACACCCAAGCACCGUCCACCCACAUACCAAAUUAUCAAAGUAACGAACACGAAUCAUAUGAACGUGAUGAAAACUAGCUUGAUGAUAAUUCCCAUGUGUCCUCGGGAGCAUUUUCCUUCAUAUAAGAAAUUGUCCAGGCUUGUCCUUUGCUACAAAAAGGAUUGGUCCACCUUGCUGCACUUUAUUUACAUUUGUUACUCGUUACUUGCUACCAAUUAUCUUAUCACAAAACUAUCUGUUACCUAUAAUUUCAGUGCUUGCAGAGAAUACCUUACUGAAAACCGCUUGUCAUUUCCUUCUGCUCCUCGUUGGGUUCGACACUCUUACUUAUCGAAAGGACUACGAUAGAUCCCCUGUACUUGUGGGUCAUCAUGCAUCACCAUGAUCUUGCGUGUGCGUAGGAUUUUUUUGAAAUUACUACGUUCCCCAACACAAACUUCAUAUCAAUAGCAGAUGCAACUCCCAUUCUAUUCUUAAAAGAUCCCCACAAGAGACCAGCCAUCUGAUGAUGUUCAGACACCACAAUCCCAUCCUCAUUUUUCAAGCUAGAAAUAGCAUUCCUUCUGAAUCUUUUAGUUGCCAUUGCCUGAAAGAAUUUGGAGUUUUCCUCCCCUACUUUAAUCCAUCUAAUGGUACACCUUUGUUUCCAAUAUACAUAUUGCACAUGAAGCAAACCCUCCAGGUGUAAUUUAACAAUUUUCCUAAAAUUGAAUUCAGGUCUUGAGAGUGGUCUCUGGUCCUCAAGAUUAUCAAAAGCCAGAAUAAUGGCAUUACAUGCUUGCAUCAACAACUUCAUCUUAGACAGACUAGUGUACCAUUGCUUUAGAGCAUAUCUGAGCCUCUUAAACUUCUCAUUAAGUAUUGCAACACUAUUCCUUUUCCUGGUUGGGGCAUGAUAACCCACAAGUAUAGGGGAUCAAUUGUAGCCUCUUUCGAUAAGUAAGAGUGUCGAACCCAACGAGGAGCUAAAGGUAGAACAAAUAUUCCCUCAAGUUUUAUCGACCAUCGAUACAACUCUACGCACGCUUAAUGUUCGCUUUACCUUGAACAAGUAUGAAACUAGAAAUACUUUGUAGGUGUUGUUGGAUAGGUUUGCUAGAUAAUAAAGAGCACGUAAAUAAAAAGUAGGGGCUGUUUAGAUAAAGAAGCAAUAAAGUAAAUAUAGCGAGUGUGGGAAAGUGGUGGUAGGCGUUGCGAAAUUGUCCCUAAGCAAUUGACUACUUUACUAGACCGAUAGAUGGGGGAAGGUGAUGAAGAUGUUGGUGAAGAUGACGGAGGUGUUGGUGUAGAUCGCCGUCGCACGAUGAUGGCCCCGGUGGCACUCCGGCGCCACCGGAAGCGAGGGGGAGAGAGCCCCCCUCCUUCUACUUCUUCCUUGGCCUUCUCCCUAGGUGGGAGAAGGGUUCUCCCUCUGGUCAUUGGUCUCCAUGGCAUGGGAGGGGCGAGAGCCCCUCCGAGAUUGGAUCUGUCUCUCUGUCUCUCUCUGUUUCUGCGUUCCAGAUUCUGGCCCUUCACCGUUUCUUAAAUUCCCAGAGAUCCGUAACUCCGAUUGGGCUGAAAUUUGGACACGUUUUUAUCCGGAUAUUGGCUUUCUUGCUGCGAAAGAAGGGCACCAACCACCUUACGGAGUGGCCACGAGGGCCCAGGGUGCGCCUGACCCCCUGAGGCGCGCCCCUCACCCUCGUGGGCCCCUCGGGCAUCGUCUCGCGUUGAUUCCACUUCCCAAAAUUCACAUAUAUUCCAAAAAAAUCUCCGUCAGUUUUUAUCCCGUUUGGACUCCGUUUGAUAUGGAUUUUCUGCGAAACAAAAAACAUGCAACAAACAGGAACUGGCACUGGGCACUGGAUCAAUAUGUUAGUCCCAAAAAUAGUAUAAAAAGUUGCCAACAAUGUAUGAAAGUCGUAGAAUAUUGGCAUGGAACAAUCAAAAAUUAUAGAUACGACGGAGACGUAUCAGUGCCCAGUGCCAGUUGUUGUUUUUUUGCUUGUUUUUUACAUCGCAGGAAAUCAAUAUCAAAUGGAGUCCAAACACUGCGAAACUUUUUGUGGAUUUUUUAUGGGCCAGAAGACUCCCGAUGGACCAGAGCAGCACCUGGGGGGGUUCCCCGAGGGGCGCGCCCUGGUGGGUUGUGCCCACCUCGGUGGCCUCCUGCACCCCCUCUUUGCACUAUAAAUUCCCAAAUAUUCAGAAACCCUUAGGGGUUACCCUAGAUCAGAAGUUCCGCCGCCGCAAGGCUCUGUAGCCACCUAAAACCAAUCUAGACCCUUUUCGGCACCCUGCCGGAGGGGGGAAUCAUCUCCGGUGGCCAUCUUCAUCAUCCCGGCGGCCACCACGAUGAGGAGGGAGUAGUCCACCCUCGGGGCUGAGGGUUUUUACCUGUAGCUAUGUGUUUAAUCUCUCACUCUCUCGUGUUCUUGAGAUGUCACGAUCUUGAUGUAUCGCGGGCUUUGUUAAUAUAGUCGGAUCAUAUGGUGUUUUCCCCUCUCUAUCUUGUGAUGAAUUGAGUUUUCCCUUUGAGAUUUCGUUUUAUCGGAUGAAUACUUUUAUGGAUUUGAGAACACUUGUUAUAUGUCUUGCAAUUGAAUACUCGUGGUGACAAUGGGGUAUCGUAUUGAUUCACUUGAUAUAUGUUUUGGCACUCAACUCGCGGAUUCCCGAGGUGACAUUGGGGUAGGGGUGGAUGCACGUUCUUGUCUUUGUUUCUCUGGUAGAAAUCUUGGGGCACUCUUUGAAGUUCUUUGUGUUGGAUUGAGUAUUAUGAAUAUGAAUUUGCUUUGGUGUUAUUUUAGUACGAACUCUAGGAUAGAUCGAACGGAAAGAAUAACUUUGUGUUGUUUUAGUACGAACUCUUGAAUAGAUCGAACGGAAAGAAUAGCUUUGAGGUGGUUUCGUACCCUACAAACAAUUUAUUCUUAUGUUUUCUGCUAGAUAGGAACUUUGGAGUGAUUCUUCAUCGCACUUUGAGGGAUGGUUAUAUGAUCCAAUUAUAUUAGCUUUGUUGAGAGAUUGCACUAGCGAAAGUACGGACCCUAGGCCUCAUUUUCAAGCAUUGCAAUACCGUUUUUGUGCCCGUUUACUAUUUGCUACCUUGCUGUUUUUAUUUAUUCAGAUUAUAAAAAUAUAUUUCUACCAUCAAUAUUACACUUCUAUUACCAUCUCUUCGCCGAACUAGUGCACCUAUACAAUUUUCCAUUGUAUUGGGUGUGUUGGGGACACAAGAGAUUUCUUGUAUUUGAUUGCAGGGUCGUUUGAGAGAGACUAUCUUCAUCUUACGCCUCCCACAGAUUGAUAAACCUUAGGUCAUCCACUUGAGAGAAAAUUGCUACUGUCCUACAAAACUCUGCGCUUGGAGGCCCAACACGUGUCUACAAGAAUAAAGUUGCGUAGUAGACAUCAAAGGUGUCUAGCGAUAUCGUCGCAAAUCUGCCGUGGAUGCUGCCCGGUACCAAUCCUGGUGAUUACCUGUCCGACAAUGUACAUUUUGAUACAAUGGAGGUGGACGAAUUCAGAUACCAGUACGGGAAGCCUCUCGUCAAAGAUGGAACUCUUGCUCUAACAACGAUGAUGCGAAGAUUCCAUGAAUGGUACAUGAAAACCUGCAGCGAGUCUGGGAAGGAUGCUUUGUCAAUGAGAAUUAAAGAGGACCACGACUUCAUUGGACAAGAACUGUUAACUGUUGAUUUUGACGAGUUUUUCCAAUUCUACAAUCAAAAGGCCCUCGACAAAUUACUCAUGGCUUGCUACUGUCUGUAAGUACUACUUUUCGUAAUUAAGUCUCUAUAUAUAGCUCAACUCUUUCAUUGCAUGUAUAUAUAAUUAUCCUCAUUAUAUUAUGCAGAUUGAAGAUCGUCGAAUGCAGAAAAGCACAAAUCUAUGGCAUUGGGUUCAUUAAACCAAAUGUCAUACAUGAAUGGACGGUUAAAAAGAAUGUCUCAGAAACCAAGGACAGCUUGCUCAAAUCGUUGCUCAAAAAUCAAAGCAAAGAUAAACUACUCUUUCCUUACAACUUUAGGUGAGUGUUGCUGUCUUGUGCAUAUCCGGUUUCCCUUAUUACUCGAGGUUAUAGUAAUGUAACUGAUGAGUUAUGCAUGCGUGCACAGCUUCCACUUUAUUCUCCUAGAGAUUAAGCUUGAGCAGGGACUAGUAACCGUCUUAGACUCGAGACGAAAAGAUCCCCGAGAGUAUGCAGACAUGACUGAAAUACUCCAUAAGUAAGUUCAACCGAUCAUUAUCGCACCUUAUCGGCAACUUUGUUCAUUUCCUGAUGUCAAGUAAUAAUUUUCUUUGUCUGGCAGGGUUUUGAAAGAGUUCAGCGCAAUUUCUCCGGGACUGCCGACCGGGCUGAAAUUUAAACUACCGAAAGUAAGUACUACUACCUAGUUCUGCGCAUCUCCCAUUGAUUCUAGCUAGUUUCAUCAAUACCAUUUAGCAUGCUUGCUUAUCAGUUUGAUUGACCUCUAUUUCUCAUAAAGUGCUUGUGGCAAGAACGCGGGAAUAAUUUCUGUGGAUACUACGUUUGCGAGUUCAUCUACAACGAGACGGCCAAGAAUAAGCGGGGCUACUCUGAAAAAUAGUAUGAAGUGCGUAAGCAAAAAUAUUCACAGUUUUAUUUUAUUACCAUCAUUUGUGUUGAGUUUCAUUGAUACACAUGUAUUGACCCUCUUCUUCGAUUUUGAUCUGGCAGAUGCGGGAUGAUCUCCUACCACAAGAUCGCAUACGAGCAAGUCAAUAGGAUUCAACGGGAUUCUUUCUUGACCACGUCAUCAAUAAAGCGAGAGAAUACCAUGUGGAACUUGACUUUAGAUGUUAGGGAUUGUAAGAGAUCUUAUAUUGUAUAUAUGUAGCUAGUAGCGUCGGAUAGAUAUACGAAAACUUGUUGUUCGACCAAUCUCUCAGAGAAGGAGAGGUCGAUCACUUCUCUCUGUAUAUGUUCAUGACGAUCUUCUGUACUUAAUGGUUUCCUUCAUUUUCUUACUAGCUAGCGUGUCGAGUCCUCUCUAUACGUAUAGUACGUAGCGUCGACCAAGCACGAAGAUAAGAGAGGUCACUUCUCUCUAGCUAUUAGCUAGCUAACACAAUAUAUGAAACCCCCAAAUUAGCNNNNNNNNNNNNNNNNNNNNNNNNNNNNNNNNNNNNNNNNNNNNNNNNNNNNNNNNNNNNNNNNNNNNNNNNNNNNNNNNNNNNNNNNNNNNNNNNNNNNNNNNNNNNNNNNNNNNNNNNNNNNNNNNNNNNNNNNNNNNNNNNNNNNNNNNNNNNNNNNNNNNNNNNNNNNNNNNNNNNNNNNNNNNNNNNNNNNNNNNNNNNNNNNNNNNNNNNNNNNNNNNNNNNNNNNNNNNNNNNNNNNNNNNNNNNNNNNNNNNNNNNNNNNNNNNNNNNNNNNNNNNNNNNNNNNNNNNNNNNNNNNNNNNNNNNNNNNNNNNNNNNNNNNNNNNNNNNNNNNNNNNNNNNNNNNNNNNNNNNNNNNNNNNNNNNNNNNNNNNNNNNNNNNNNNNNNNNNNNNNNNNNNNNNNNNNNNNNNNNNNNNNNNNNNNNNNNNNNNNNNNNNNNNNNNNNNNNNNNNNNNNAGCUGCUGACGCGUGGAUGCUCUUUGGUCCCGGUUGGUGUUACCAACCGGGACUAAAGGCCCUCAUGCCCGGGCUCGCCGCAAUGGCCACGUGGAGCCCCAUCUGUCCCGGUUUGUAAGCGAACCGGGACUAAAGGUAUUGGGCUUUAGUCCCGACCCUUUAGUCCCGGUUCCUGAACUAGGACAAAUGGGCCUCUGGAACCGGGACGAAUGGGCCUUUUUCUACUAGCGUAGGAAUAGUACUUGAUGCCCCACCCGCCACCAGACUAUUAUGUUCAGCUGUAGCUAGCCGAUAAGCACUUCGGACCGAGAAACAUCCGGACUUCUCCGGGAACCAUGCAAGAAAAUCUUGUCUAUUCCUUGGCGACGUCCUAAUUUUCAGAAUUUCAUUAACAUCCAUGUCCCAGAAGUGAUCUCUUAAUCUCUGCACAUCCCAUGCUCCAUGUUCAUCCAGAAAAUCCGCUACCCAAUUGUACCGACAAUUCCAUUUUGGCGUGACUAGUCUUAGAUCAUAACCCCACGGAAUCCAAGGGUCCGCCAAGUUCUAAUUAGUGUACCAUCACCAACCCGCCAGAUAAUGCCCUUCUUCAACAAAUCAACUCCAUGAACAAUACCUUUCCAUACCGCCGAAGAGCUGCUAGGAAAUAAUGUAUCCAACAAAUUCCCAUUAGGGAAAUAUUUUGCAUGCAAUAAACAAGCACAUAGACUAUCAGGGCUGUCCAACAAACACCAGGCCUGUUUUGCUAACAACGCCUGAUUAAAAGCACUCAUAUCCCUGAAACCCAUGCCUCCCAUUGCUUUGGGUAGUUUCAUUUUCUCCCAACUUAGCCAAGCCAUCUUUUUCUUUCCAUUCUCCACUCCCCACCAGUAUUGCCUCAUCAUCUGUGUUAGAUCAUCACAAACAGAGGCCGGUAACCUGAACACACUCAUGAUGUAGGUGGGUAUAGCUUGAGCAACUGACUUUAUCAAAAUCUCUUUAUUAUGAGAAGAAAGAUAUUGCUCACUCCAAUCAAUUAACCUCAGUCGUGUAUUUAACAAGAUGAGAACACUGUCAUGGCGAAGGGUGUUACUCAUGUUUCCAUUACUAAUAUACUCUGAAUAAAUGUACCCUGAAUUUGUUUAUUUAUUUAUUGCUAUGUGCAAUCCACUUUGAUCUAUUACCCUCUUACAUUAGUUAUCUUACACUACUUUAUCGAAGAUCCAUCUGUUAAGAGCGGACUUAACCUGAAACUAGUUCUGUCAGUACAAGAAGUUAAUUUCAACCCAACACACUGAAUUUUUAGACGUAAGAAUGUUGUAUUUGCUAGUAUUAAUGAGAAUGUAGCGAUUUCAAAUCCCCACUGACCAUGAUGUUCCUCAUACUCCGUUAGAAAUGGCUAAGUCAUAAAGCAUAUCCUCUAGCUACAAACAAAUUGAUUGUUGACGAAUUUAAUUCAAAGUAUACUACAUCGGUAUUCCAGAAAUUUACUCGAAAUCACAGGAAAUCGUUUUACUUUGCUGCCGGACCUCAUUAUUAAGGGGGAUAAAGCAACAUGAAGGACUAAAGGUUAUAUGUUGGAGAGCACAUCAUAGUACAGAUUAGGGGAAACUGAAAUACUGUUUUCAGCAGGAAACAGAACACGUAGAAAUGAGCUAAAUCUAGGAGAAUAAAACUAACAAGAUAAUGUGCUAACCCGCUGAAAACUUUUAACAGAAGAAACUCUAAAGAUGAGCAUUCUUGAGCAUAAUGUACCUUGAAGAAUAGAUGCAGCAACACAAAGAAUGAAGCAUCCGUUUUGUAAUGCUUCAGAGUAUUUUCUCUGAAACAUGUUACCAACUUCUGGGAGAAGUAGCAUUCAGUUCUAGCUACAACUUCUGUGACACUGCACUCUUUUCAUUUUGAAGUAACCUCUUCCAAGUUAUUGUAGUUACAAUCUGAAGCGUCUUCCAAAUAAGUUGAGGAGGUUGAGUCCUUGUUUGGUGUGGUAUGCGUUACACAGAAAUACAGCUUGUACAUUUAGUUAUGCUUGAUUAAAAUAUUUUUCCAUAAUUUUCUAUGUCUUGCCCGGUGAUGUAAACUAUAAAAGUGUCAUCGUAUUUGUAGAUGGAUGAUGAUGUGAUAACUGGAAGUAUAAGGACUAGAGAUGGAGAUAAGAAGCAUUUAGCAAAGAUAAUUUUAAUUGUACCCUUGCAAUCGCAAGAAUUUAUCUGCAAGAAAUUUCUAAUUAUUUUAUUAAGCAUCCACUGGCAUACCUGUGCUUAACUGAAUCGUGUUUGUUUGGCGUGAUUUCUCCCGGCACAUGAAGCUUGAUGAGCAAGAAGCAGCAGAACUGGAGGGAAAUGCUAGAGCUUCUCGAUGUUGUACCCUGAAGUGUCACGACCGGUUUUUCAAUAAAAUAUUUAUUGAGAGACCAAUCCCUUUUACGGACCAGUAAAGAAGAAUUCCUUCUCACUGGUAGACAAUAUCUUGGUCACAGAAGAAAAAUACCAGGAGUACUGAAUAUGAUACCAAGUUGAGCGGAGACUGCUCAGCAAUUUAUUACACGAACGCCGAUAAAACAUAACGGCGGAUUGGGUGGCAUAACUACUAACUCACGAUAACAACGGUGGUGGAAAUAUCACCGCGAAGUGGGUGAUAUGACUCCUGAAAACUACAGCUCUUCGAGCGUCAGAGUGAGGCUCGAGGAGACUUAUUGCGGGUGGCGGAAGCGUAUAAAAUACAAGUGACCAAUAUCCAGGAUCGCACGGGACUGACUGGGACUCCUCUAGGCGUCGGACGCACUAUCAAACUCUUCAUCCAAGAGAUCGCCUUCGUCAACAUCUGGCCAAAUCAACAAGCCAGGUGAGUACUAUGAAAGUACUCGCAAGACAGUUCGGACAUAAGAUAUAACAAAUGUAAACAUGAAGCAAUUGAACAGAUUAACAAGUGCAUUCAGACAUAGAGACAAUAAUGCAUGGGGAAUAAAAGAGAAGUCGGGCGGUAGUCCUCCCGAAAUCCCAAAUUAAAUACUGGGUGCCAAACGAGGGUCUGAAUGACUCCUCGAGAGGAAAAUGCAAGAAUAACAAUGCCGCAGUCGGGCGUCAGGGCGACACCACAUAAAGGGCUUAUAAUAGAAAAUAAAAGAUAGUGCGUGCCACAGUCGGACGUCUGAGCGACAUCGCAGAAAGGGCUUAUAUCAAAAGUAAAUAACCAACAUGCCACAGUCGGACGUCUGAGCGACAUCACAUAAAGGGCUUAUACGAAAGUAAAUAACAAACAUGCCACAAUCGAACGUCUGAGCGACAUCACGUAAAGGGCUCAUACAAAAGUAAAUAACAAACAUGCCACAGUUGGACGUCUGAGCGACAUCACGUAAAGGGCUUCAUAACUUAACAUCUUAGUAGCUAAAGAAUUUAAAUCAUAUCUAGAGAAUAAUCAUGCAUGAGAUAAACAACAGGGUUAGUCCAUCCACAGGAGUAACGUUCAACCCAGUUUACUACUCAUGCUCGCUUACCGGAAAGAAGAAUAAACCACGAGGGCUUGACGUAGAUAAGGAUACACUGAUCACUGUGAAUACUUGACCAUGGAUACGAUGACUCGGAAGGAUUUGACUCUGCAGAGUUUGUACUUUAACCACAGCCAACGGAUUUCUGUUGUCACGGGGACUAGUUCCGUUUACGGUGUUUUGGAAGAAACACAUCUAACCAGUACACACCCAUUCAACAUUUCGAAGCCAGGAAUCACCCUCGGCAACGUUCAAGAAAAACCUUGAGACGGGGAGGCUACAACCUCGCGUAGCAUGGGAUCAAAUUUAUAUACGCGCGCUCUAAGGGGUGCCCCCCUCUCGGUCCCAACCGGAAACACCCAUGCCCCCUGACCGGAUGACUGGCUUUAAUCCAGGGCCAUGGAACCCUCAUCCCGGCCCCUCUAUUUGGUGUGUACACGGAAAGAGGUUACCAACUUACUAAACCGCAUUCUGGCAGAAAACAUGUGGCGGCACGGAAGGGGGAAGAACGAUAACGUGACUCCGUCCACGUUAACGUCGGAAUUUAACGGAUGACGUAAGGCUGGCAUGCUACAACAGUACCACCUUACUGCCCUUCAUGUCCCCACAUGACUAGGCCAUCUCUCAUCAGAGAUCAUAGUAACUUCGGAACACGCGGGUAGUCACCUUACAUGCAACGAGAUACUCAUCGAUGCUCAUAUGCCUUGCACAAUCUUUCACGCAAUCACGCAAAACACCUAUCAUAUCAAAAGUUCAAACAUGCUUGCCUGGUUCGGAGAAGUCGGAGCCUAGCUCGGCGAAGUUCGCGGCUCCGUCACCUCUCCCGGAACCUACGGUAUAGCGAAAAAUGCACACUAACGUGAAAACCAAAGCGUGCAUAAAAGUUGUUCCAAUUUUUUUUUCAAAUAAAUCCCAUAAAAAACUAGACAAAAUUUUAAGACAGUCAGAAAAAGAAUCAGUUAAAAAUCACUUUUUAUUAAAAAGUUAUAAGGGUUUCUAUCCAGGGACUCAUCUGUAAUGAAACAGAAAAGUUCCAGGGGUUUAACUGAGAAAACAGAAAACGGUUCGAAUAGAAACGCGCCAGCCCGCAGAGAAAACGUACUCUGCCCGAAGGCGCCAACAGAAAAUGCUUCGGGGGUGAAAGAAGAGAGGCUGACGUGGGGGGUCCACAUGUCAGGUUUGAAAAACCUCGCCGGCGCCCGAAGGCUGCGGUGGUCGCCGGCGUCGAACCACGGCGAGUCAGGGAGAUCGAAGUGUACCAAGAGUAUCAGCGUGUCCUUCCGCGUCGGUGGGUGGUUGACUUGGGCAUCGGGGAGCACCACGUCGACGGCGACACUUUCUCCGGCGGACGGCGGCUCGGGCGAUGGUGGGGAACUCCGGUGGUGUGCUGCAAACUUCGAAUUGAAGCGCGGGUCAGAAGGAGGGAUGCACUAGAGAGCUUCUGGCAAGAGAUGGGAGGCAGAGGUGCACGCACGGGAGUGAAUCGAGCUGGAUCCCGUGGCGGGUCGCGGCGGCCGGAGUCGAGGAAGGAGACUUCCUCGGGGCUCUUCCAGUGGCUAGGCGGGGUCUUGGUGGAGUGUAGAGGUGGUGUGGGUACUAGCUGGAGCUCGGGGCCUCUAUUUAUAGGCGGCUCGAGGGGGUGGCCGUGAACGGAGAAUCUCCGGCGAGCAAUUACGGCGAGGCAGUGGAUUGGCAGGGGUAUUAAGUGGCCAGGCAGCAUCAGUGGGAGUUACUGGUCCCGUUUCACUGCUAAACUCGGUCGGGCAUGGCGUAAUGGCGCCGGUCCUCGUCGGGGUCGCCGUACUCGCACGACGGCGGCAGAGAGCGCGCUCCGCGCCCAGCGGUUCACGACGAGGGUGGCAGCAUGCGCUGGGGAGUGGAAGACCACGCGGCGACCUCCGGUGGAUUGGGCGGCGCCGGACGGCGCCGUCUGCGCUGCGCCACUCUUCUGACGGCCGCAAAGCCGCCGCUGGCGUCGGUCACGGGGCGGCGCACCUUCUGCUGCUCGUCGCCGACGUCCGCAAGCUUCCAGGUGCUCGUGCGGUGCAAAGGACAAGGGGGAGGAGACAGGAAACACGGCGACGCCGGGGCACUGGUGUGAUCGACAAUAGACACUGAAGAAACGACAGUGGUUCAGACACUGUUAACUGAAUUUGACUGAACCUGAUAUUGACAGUGCUCUGAAGGUGUUCGAUGAAAUGAUUAGGUAUGAAGAAAAUUUUUCCUGGAGCUGGGGCUUGGUGAGGUGACCACUCAAUGCACCCAGAGGCUGCCUGAUUUUACUCAGAAUUUUUGGAGAAGGAUUUGAAUGAAUUUCAUCAAAUUUGGCAAAUCUGGUCCAAACUUGCAGCAAGUCUAGUUUGAAAAAUUUGAACUGGAGACCACUGGAUCUUCAUGGAUCUUGGUUGAGGGUUCAAAGGACUAGGAAGGGAAAAAGGUUUGGGGGCAAAAAUCAAAGCAGAAGGAGUAGUUCCUUUGUAAAUCUCCAAGGACCAAGAUAUAUGGCAGAAAUUGUUUUGAUAAGAAGUAAAAGAAAAUAAAUAUAUGGGGAGGUUCAACUUGCUGGAUUUGAAGUAAAACAUGAUCCAAAGAUGAGGAAAGGUUUAUGAGAGUGGAUUUGCACUAAGGUCAUGGCAAGAGAGAUUUGUUGAAAGUGGGAAAAGAUCAUUCCAAAAGCUAUAGGGCAUUUUCAAAGAAAUUUCCAAAAGACAUUUUUCCCAAGUGAAAAGCAUUUUGGCUUGAGUCCAAAAUAAAAAGCAAGAACCUCCAAGACCAAAAACAAGUCUUGGGUGAAUCCAAAUAAAACUCUUGCCAAAGAAUUUUUUUUGAAAGGGAGGGUUCUUUUGAAGAAAUUUUUUAAAUCACCUCCCUCAAGUCAAGUAAUUUUUUUGAAAAAUCCAAAUGAAAUUUUGGGUGUCACAUGAAGAUAGUAAAGCUGAUGCAAUUGUUAAUAGCAAUGCUUGUUGAGCUAUGAUUAUAUUAGUCCUUUAUAGUUAAGAGUUAGUCUUGCUAGUCAAGUACUAAAAAUGAUUCUCUUAUGUAUCACUUGAUAUGUAUGUGAGUCUCUUGUUCUAGUCUGACAUGUAUAUUUAGUUAUGCUUGAAGGGGAUCGCAUAAUUGUGCUGGAUAUUGAUAUAACUUUUGGCGACAAAUAUGUACAACUUCCAUGCAUCUGCAAUGCCGACCCGCAAAUUCCUCGGGUAUACGUCCGUUUUUGUGUCCGGACGUGGUCCGCGGACAUGAUACGGGAGUGAGCCAUCCAUCGCUAUUACAUGUGGUGGGAUAUUGUGGAGUGCUGUUUGGUUAGGGGAGAAAGGAGAGGGGGACUGUGCAUGUGGGGAGAGAGAAAAGAGGAGGACCACUCGGAGGCUUUUGGUUGGUCAAAUGGAUGUCUGGACUCCGGUAUAUCUUUCUACUUUUGUCACCAAUUUGCCGGAAAACGGACAGCCGGACCGCUUCACGGACCGAUAUGUGUCUUCAUUAAAUUGCAGAAGUAAACAAAUGUGUACGGCCGGACAUAUACCGGAGCUUUGUGGGUCUCCCUUGGAGAUGCCCUAAUGCACUAAAAUAUACAUGAACUUCAUGCAAUAUAUAUGUGCAAAGAUUUUAUAAGACUAAGAGGGUUGGGAGCAUCAUCGAUGUGCCAGUGUACUAUAAAUGGUUGCUGGACAGAUGGAUUGGAGCGUACCCAAGUUGAGCUACCCGGGUGCAUAGGAGACCGGGUGCAAGAUAUUUUCUUUGUAAGUUUCAUGCAAAUAUAAUGUGCGACACUCCAUCUUUAAAUGAAAAAUAUGAGUGAUCAUAUGACAGGACACCAGGUCAUUUUCUCUCUAGGUCCACCCCUGGAGAGGAAGACGAGGUAGGGGGGGUUUCCAUUUAUGUAUGAUCUGGCGGCUGAGGACUACAUUUUCUAUUUUUGCAUUCAAGUCCAUCUUCUAUUGUGGUUGCUCCCAAACAAAGGAGCACAUGUUUACAUUUAGGCAAAACGAUGUACCUCCACAAAGGAACACAUACAUGUAAAGGAAAAGCAGCAAAGCUGCAUCAAACCCGGGCCACAAAUACUAAAUCGCCAAUUACAAAUAGCUGAAAAAGGUUUAUUGUUCAUCCUAGAUAACAUUAACGUAAUGAAAGUCCACCACGUACUAAGUUCUAACAAUUUUAUUAUGCUUUUUCAUUCACCCCCCACUGUAUGCUGAAGAAUUCCACAAUCUGAACAAUAACACAUCAAGCUCUAACUUAGUUAGCCAUGGGUUGUCACACAGGCACAGCGUGAAGCGGCGACGCCUGGGCACAGCUAGUUUUCUUUUUUUAGGUAGGCUGGCUUUGUUAGAAGGUUGUGGCCUAGGAGCAAUGAAAUUGCUGAAAUGCGGGUGACAGAUGAAGAAUCAACAGUUCAAGUAGCAAACGAUCAGCCAUGCAGUCAGUUCGAAACUAAAAUUGGCCCAGUAAAACAUAAUUAACGCCUCCCUCAAUUCCAUUUUCAUAUCUGUCUAAUAUGAAAGAAAAGAUGUUCAAAUCUCAAACUUUUAUAACUCUUAAACAUACCAUUACAUAUCAUUUACUCUAAUAGAUAUUCAUAGGUACUUCAUCUUCAUCACAUCAAAGCAAUAUUUUGCCCAAUUGACUUGAUUGUGCCUGCAGUGCACGAUGAACCAGAACCAAACAUCAUCUUCGAUUUGAGCAACACCAAAGUGUUCCACAGCAGUUAGCAGAUUCCAGCCCUUUAACUGGCAGAUUGCUUAUGCUUCUUAGGGUCCACUGAAAGACAAGUUGGCUUGUUGUCACAUGCUAUCCCUUUUACAAAUAGAAAUAGAAGUAACUCAGGUACAUACACCAUCGGAACAUCUUGCAAGCAGUAUGGACAGAUAAGAUGAAUUGCCACUUAAAAAACAGAGUACACAAUAAUAGUCCAAAAAAAGGAAGACAUACAAGGAGAAACGACAAUGCAUUGGAAUAUAUUGAUAAAGGAAACUGUUGCACCUUCAAUAUUAAUGUAAACGUAAUUGCAUCAUAUACUUGAUCUGGCUUAAGAUGGUAACCGGACAUCACGCUCUUCAGCUAACUUGUCAUCGAAGUGUUGUCUUUUUCUUUUUGUGACAAUAAAAAGAAGGCUCAUCCCUAGAAUCAGGAGGAAGAUUCACAUGAUAAGACCAGCAAGGCUAAUACUACAGGAGUUUUACCUAAUGGCAUUCUCAUGGAGGGAGAAUGGCUUUUCACUGGCCCAGUAUCCAGUUACACGAUAUACUAAGUACACGCUAUCUGAAACAAAAGGAUUCUAGAUAACAGAAACAGCCAAAAAUGUGUGCCCUGAUUGACCCACAAGUAACCCAAGUACCCAACGAAACACAUUCUAAAACUUUUUGCCAACAGAAAAAAUUAUGUAUAAAGGGCUUCGUAUAUAUCAUCUAAAUGCACGAGACAUUUGCUCCGGUACAGAAAACAGAGGACAACAUAAUUUUUAUGCUGUAAAAGAGCAAUCAGAAUAGUGUGGUUCCUAGAAUUCUCUUCAAAAUAGCCUACAUUUGAACUCCCAAGGGCAACUAGAUGGCGGAAGUACCAAAGCUAUUAUUGAUGUACUCCCUCCGUUUCCAAACAUAAAACGUCUUAUGUUUGGAAACUGAGUACAGUGAAGUGCACCUACACAAUAGGAGCGGCUCUUGAACAGCCUAACAGAAGAUUCAUGGCAACAAUGUAUUAAAUGAUUCAGUUAAUUAAUACUCCCUCCGUCCGAAAAAGCUUGUCCCUCAAAUGGAUGUAUCUAGCAUCAAGUUAGUGCUAGAUACAUCCAUUUGAGGGACAAGCUUUUUCGGGCAGAGGGAGUAUUACCUCCAUCCCAAAUUAGUUGUCCUAUAUGUGUCUAGAUAAGGAUGUACUCCUAUCCAACACUAGAACAUGUCUUGAUAUAUAUCUAGAGAGACAAAUCUAAGACAACUAAUUCAGAACGGAGGGUGUAUAUAUUAUUAUUAUAACACAGCGAGACUAGAGAUUCAUGAUGCAAAAUAGCAAAAUUGGAAUCUUGAGACUGGAGCAAAGUAGCAGAGCAUAACAUAGGGCAAACAACCCUGAUUAGUAGAGCAGUAUGGGUCUAGAAGUCGUUGGGCAGAGAUAUGCUAAUGAUACAGUAGUUAUUAUAUGUAUUGCAUCAUACGGUCAGAUAAACGAGCAAAAUUAAGUGUUACGGUACCAUAUCCAACAGAAAGCUAAGCAAAGGCAACCCAGUUAGGUGGGAAUCAUAGCAUUUGAAUAUUAAGAGAGCUUCUUCUAGUUACCUGUUGGCCUUUCAAGGUAUUUGCAGAAGACAGAUGGAAGUAGGGGGGUAGCAGGAAUGUGGUUACGGCGAUGUUCCACACCCAGAGACUCACAUGACAGCAGAUGUGCAUUUUCGCCAACCAUGAUAUUCCACCCAUCACCAUCAAACUCCUCCUCUGUUAACAGGCAGCAAAGAACAUUCGGGUCAUCCAAGCUGAUGGUUGGGAACUCAGGAAGACGCUGAUCUAUGUGCAGAUCUAGGUAGCCAGGUUGUGCCCAGAGAGAAUACAGGUUGAUCACAUGAUGUAGCUUCCACUCGAACUUGUUGGAGUCCAACGUCCAAACGGUGAUAUCCUGGGUAGGCCGCUUCUGCUGGCCUCGGCUUUUUCUCGCAGGAGGCGGCCCAUGGAAGUCAUUGUCAAUGUGCACAAAGCACAGCAUGCCUUGGCUGAUGGACACACUUCGGAAUCUGUCAGGGCGGCGCCUUUCAACCCGUUCCUCAUCAGAGAAAUCAUUUUUCCCAGGGAAAGGCACAAAGCGGAGCACUGGGGACAAGUCUUGUAUCACGAAGUCACAUAGCAGAACACCACUCAUGUAGUCAAUACAGCACAGGAAACGGCCGGCAAAAGCAAGCAGAUUGUCGGUUGACCAAAGGUUGGGGAACUGACCGCCAUUGCUCUGGUCCUGCGGCUGAGGGGCAGGCAUCUCGGGGCUGAGUUCCCACUGUUUAGCCCCAGAGCGGAAGACGCAGAGUUGGGCACAGAUACCAUUUUUUCCGCGG